rnacentral:rRNA from 1 species
GGGGAUAACAGUUAGAAAUGGCUGCUAAUACCGCAUAAGACCACAGCACCGCAUGGUGCAGGGGUAAAAACUCCGGUGGUAUGAGAUGGACCCGCGUCUGAUUAGCUAGUUGGUGGGGUAACGGCCUACCAAGGCGACGAUCAGUAGCCGACCUGAGAGGGUGACCGGCCACAUUGGGACUGAGACACGGCCCAAACUCCUACGGGAGGCAGCAGUGGGGAAUAUUGCACAAUGGGGGAAACCCUGAUGCAGCGACGCCGCGUGAGCGAAGAAGUAUUUCGGUAUGUAAAGCUCUAUCAGCAGGGAAGAAAAUGACGGUACCUGACUAAGAAGCCCCGGCUAACUACGUGCCAGCAGCCGCGGUAAUACGUAGGGGGCAAGCGUUAUCCGGAUUUACUGGGUGUAAAGGGAGCGUAGACGGCGAGGCAAGUCUGAUGUGAAAACCCGGGGCUCAACCCCGUGACUGCAUUGGAAACUGUUUUGCUUGAGUGCCGGAGAGGUAAGCGGAAUUCCUAGUGUAGCGGUGAAAUGCGUAGAUAUUAGGAGGAACACCAGUGGCGAAGGC